rnacentral:rRNA from 1 species
CCCUUAGAUGUUCUGGGCUGCACACGUGCUACACUGGCAGGUUCAGCGAGCUUCAUGCCCUGAUCUGAAAGGAAUGGGAAAUCUUUUCAAAACCUGCCGUGCUUGGGAUAGAUGUUUGCAAUUAUUCAUCUUCAACGAGGAUUGCCUUGUAAGCGCACGUCAUCAGCGUGCAUUGAAUGCGACCCUGUAUUCUGUACACACCGCCCGUCGCUCCUACCGAUUGAAGUUUUCGGUGAGUUGACAGGAGGAUUUUUUUGAAACUGGUUCGCCAGUGGAUUUUAGAUCCAAAUGCCAACGAAUCGAUGGCUUUAGAGGAAGGAGAAGUCGUAACA